rnacentral:lncRNA from 1 species
CGAUUAUCUUUAAUAUUUCUUGCCUUAAUGCAGAAAUGGCUUCAGCAUCCUUUCAUUAUGUUCGUUGUUAGAACCAUGCCACAAUAGACUCACUAGCUAAAGUUGUUCUGUUUUCAGCUAUCUCUUUCUCCCUUUCGAGAUUGUAACCAAACUUUUUUAUUUAAUUCCAACUAGUUUGCCAAAAAAAAAAAAAAAAAUUGCAUAUGUGCGUAAGGCAACAUGAUGAUAAGGCUUGGCAUAGAGGGGGUGCGAGCGGUGCUUUUGCACUGGACCUUUUUAGUUUUGGAAAAUUUUUAAAGGUUUUAGGGCCC